AUGGCCAUAUCACAAAACACUGAUUCCCAUAUGAUCAUCAAAGUUAAACAACAUUGAGCCAGGUCAGUACCUAGAUGGGUGACCACUAUGGAAUAUAAGGUGUUGUAAG